rnacentral:rRNA from 1 species
GCUGUGGCGAAAGAGCAAGUGGACACAAUUUACAAAGAGGCAGACAUGUAUUCGUUGAACCCAAUCGAGUUACAGAUGCGAGGGAUAUACACACAAAAUCUUUUCUCCAUGUUCUAGGUAGAGAUGAAGCUAAAGACUGCUUACGGAUGCGACACUUUUCAAGAUGGAACCUUCAGGAUGUGGUCGCUCCAAGGCAUACGACCAAAGUAUGGGGAUAGGGACUACCAUGUGCAGGCGAACAAGGAUGAAGGGGUAUACUCAUGCACUUGCUGCAAGUUUGAUCACGAUGGGCUAUUAUGCGCACACAUACUACGAGUAAUGGAACAGAUUGGAGUCUACGAGAUACCGAGGAGGUAUAUCCUGGAUAGGUGGACAUGGGAUCCAGAAGAGGAUCUUGUUCAGCCUAAUUACCAACAGCCAACAGUUAAGAAGGGUAUGACAGAAGAAGGAAAAAAAUAUCAUGAGAUAUACAUCUAUUCUGAAUGA